CCCAGCCGGCACACGACCGACCUUCAACGUUGAAAUAUGGUUGAAAUAAGGUCAGAUGUGUUUUGAACGUUGAAAUAAUGUUGAUAGAACGUUUAAUGUUGAACGGUUGAAAAACAGCCUGCAUAUGACAAGGCUUCAACGUUGAAAUGUGGUUGAAAAUACGUAAGUAGUUGCUUUAAUGUUGAAACAAUGUUGAAUGAUAAAUGGUUGAAAAAAGUUACAGAAAUCCUUGUACAAAUCAACGUUGACAUUUUUUUUAUCAUGAUCUGUAUGUUGAAUUAACGUCAUGGCUUCACCCAAUAUUCAACAUGUUUGGUUACCAUGGUAUCGGAGGACUCGGCGCACGCGGCCACGCGCAGCGCUUCACUUCACUUAAUUACGAACACCUGACCUGCAGUGCAGCAGAAUUCAGAGACAUGUAACUUAACGUACUCCAGAGACGCACUAACUUGCACAGCAUUGAAUGGAAAAGGCUUUGUCCAUGUCCAGUUGAGGGCAUCAAGAACACGCAGAUGGCCUAAACCUGUGUCAGCCUGGACAGACUGCAGUUCUGCUACUCCACGCCAAGGCUUUUGUAUGGAUGUCUGACUACUACUGACUACUGUGUUCUCUAAAGGUUUUCUGGAAGCUCCAUUUGAGGGCAUCAAGGACAUACUGAUGGCCUAAACCAGUGUCAGCCUAGACAGACAGACAUCUAUUGCAGUUCUGCUACACAAGACCAAACUCUCUGCUUUUGUAUGGAUGUCUGACUAGUACAGUGUUCUCUGAAGGUAUAACUGGAGCAAAACAACAGCAUCCGUUACAGUGAAAUUUGUGUUCAUAAAAGAUAGUGAUAUAUGUGUAACAGGUCCAGUACAUUUGUCAUAAAGGUUAAAUCACAGUAAGUACUGUAAAAAUAACUUGUUUGCCUUUGCCACAACAGGUCAUGGUGUGUGCUUACCUGUAGUAAACACACACGCUGAUCUGAUGCGGGAGAGAUAUAUGCAAACAUAUUUGUAUUUACUGUUUUGUUUUGCCUCACUAAAGUGUUGUUGGAGCUUGGUAUGUUCACAGUUGAAAUUACUGAAGUCACAUGGAACGUUUUGACAAUGUGUUUUGUGCCUUAUCUGGACAAUGACCAUCUUGGGACCAUUGCUGUCUGUAGAGGAUGAGGAGCAUUUAAUCUAAAAUAUUUUAGUUUGUGUUCUGAAGAUUAACAGGUCUCUGGGAUGACACAAGUAAUUAAUAACAGAACCUAUAUGAACACUUAAUGUGACAUGUAAUAGUGAAAUAGUGGUCCUACAUUCAAAAAUGUG
ensembl:processed_transcript